CAAACUUUACCUAUGUCAGAAUCCUAUGGAGAACUGGUUAUCUUUGCCUCUGCUUCUUCACAUUAGAAAUAUGGCUGCUGAGUGGCCAUGUUUGGAGUGGUGGUCAGAGAAAGGGCAGAGUCUGUGGUGUGUACUCACUGGAAGCCUGCAGAGUUAGAUCUCUUAUCUACAGAAUCUUUAUGACCAGAUUUCCUGUUACCAAUCAACGAGUGGUACUUGUGUUUGUGGUGUGUGCCUUCAUCUUCAUCCACUGCCAAGGUUACGGAGGUUGAGGUUGAGAGGUUAUUUUAGGCAUCUGAGGUUGCAAAGCAGCU